rnacentral:misc_RNA from 1 species
GUGAUGAGGAUUCUUUGAACACAUUGCCUGGUCAAUAUUUCGACGGUGAACAAUGGAUGGUUGUUGACAUUGUGUUGCCUUUGAAGAAUCAUCUAUGAUAUCCAUAAUUGAUGAGAAAGACUUUGUUGCAUAGACAUCAACUUGAUGAGAGGUCUGUCUCGACAAGGCAUCCAUUCCAGGUGGAGGCAGCUGGUCAGUAAGAGAAUGAGUUUUAUUGAGAUCAGCUCUUCUCUUUCUCUUCCCCAUAAGUUUUAAACACACACCCACAAAGCCAAUUUCAUGUAAACUCAACAAGAUUAAAACUUUUUAGAAAAUCAGUGGCUAUUUAGCCACUAAUUUUUGGGGUUUUGGGUAGUUAAUUGCUUAAUUUGGG